rnacentral:rRNA from 1 species
AUGAACGCUGGCGGCGUGCUUAACACAUGCAAGUCGAGCGAUGAAGUUUCCUUCGGGAAACGGAUUAGCGGCGGACGGGUGAGUAACACGUGGGUAACCUGCCUCAUAGAGUGGAAUAGCCUUCCGAAAGGAAGAUUAAUACCGCAUAAUGUUGAAAGAUGGCAUCAUCAUUCAACCAAAGGAGCAAUCCGCUAUGAGAUGGACCCGCGGCGCAUUAGCUAGUUGGUGGGGUAACGGCCUACCAAGGCGACGAUGCGUAGCCGACCUGAGAGGGUGAUCGGCCACAUUGGGACUGAGACACGGCCCAGACUCCUACGGGAGGCAGCAGUGGGGAAUAUUGCACAAUGAGGGCAACCCUGAUGCAGCAACGCCGCGUGAGUGAUGAAGGUUUUCGGAUCGUAAAGCUCUGUCUUUGGGGAAGAUAAUGACGGUACCCAAGGAGGA